rnacentral:rRNA from 1 species
CCCUUAGAUGUUCUGGGCCGCACGCGCGCUACUCUGACGAAUGCAACGAGCUUAUAACCUUGGCCGAAAGGUCUGGGUAAUCUCCAAAUUUCGUCGUGAUGGGGAUAGAUUAUUGCAAUUAUUAAUCUUCAACGAGGAAUGCCUAGUAAGCGCAAGUCAUCAGCUUGCGUUGAUUACGUCCCUGCCCUUUGUACACACCGCCCGUCGCUCCUACCGAUUGAAUGGUCCGGUGAAGCGUUCGGACCGUGGCCUUUGGACGGUUCGCCGUCUGUUGGCUGCGGGAAGUUCGUUAAACCUUAUCAUUUAGAGGAAGGAGAAGUCGUAACA